rnacentral:rRNA from 1 species
GGUUAAGCGACUAAGCGUACACGGUGGAUGCCCUGGCAGUCAGAGGCGAUGAAGGACGUGCUAAUCUGCGAAAAGCGUCGGUAAGGUGAUAUGAACCGUUAUAACCGGCGAUGUCCGAAUGGGGAAACCCAGUGCAAUUCGUUGCACUAUCGUUAACUGAAUACAUAGGUUAACGAGGCGAACCGGGGGAACUGAAACAUCUAAGUACCCCGAGGAAAAGAAAUCAACCGAGAUUCCCCCAGUAGCGGCGAGCGAACGGGGAGCAGCCCAGAGUCUGAAUCAGCUUGUGUGUUAGUGGAACGGUCUGGAAAGUCCGACGGUACAGGGUGAUAGUCCCGUACACCAAAAUGCACAGGUUGUGAACUCGAAGAGUAGGGCGGGACACGUGGUAUCCUGUCUGAAUAUGGGGGGACCAUCCUCCAAGGCUAAAUACUCCUGACUGACCGAUAGUGAACCAGUACCGUGAGGGAAAGGCGAAAAGAACCCCGGCGAGGGGAGUGAAAAAGAACCUGAAACCGUGUACGUACAAGCAGUGGGAGCACCUUCGGGUGUGACUGCGUACCUUUUGUAUAAUGGGUCAGCGACUUAUAUUCUGUAGCAAGGUUAACCGUAUAGGGGAGCCGCAGGGAAACCGAGUCUUAACUGGGCGUUAAGUUGCAGGGUAUAGACCCGAAACCCGGUGAUCUAGCCAUGGGCAGGUUGAAGGUUGGGUAACACUAACUGGAGGACCGAACCGACUAAUGUUGAAAAAUUAGCGGAUGACUUGUGGCUGGGGGUGAAAGGCCAAUCAAACCGGGAGAUAGCUGGUUCUCCCCGAAAGCUAUUUAGGUAGCGCCUCGUGAACUCAUCUUCGGGGGUAGAGCACUGUUUCGGCUAGGGGGUCAUCCCGACUUACCAACCCGAUGCAAACUACGAAUACCGAAGAAUGUUAUCACGGGAGACACACGGCGGGUGCUAACGUCCGUCGUGAAGAGGGAAACAACCCAGACCGCCAGCUAAGGUCCCAAAGUCAUGGUUAAGUGGGAAACGAUGUGGGAAGGCACAGACAGCCAGGAUGUUGGCUUAGAAGCAGCCAUCAUUUAAAGAAAGCGUAAUAGCUCACUGGUCGAGUCGGCCUGCGCGGAAGAUGUAACGGGGCUAAACCAUGCACCGAAGCUGCGGCAGCGACACUAUGUGUUGUUGGGUAGGGGAGCGUUCUGUAAGCCUGCGAAGGUGUGCUGUGAGGCAUGCUGGAGGUAUCAGAAGUGCGAAUGCUGACAUAAGUAACGAUAAAGCGGGUGAAAAGCCCGCUCGCCGGAAGACCAAGGGUUCCUGUCCAACGUUAAUCGGGGCAGGGUGAGUCGACCCCUAAGGCGAGGCCGAAAGGCGUAGUCGAUGGGAAACAGGUUAAUAUUCCUGUACUUGGUGUUACUGCGAAGGGGGGACGGAGAAGGCUAUGUUAGCCGGGCGACGGUUGUCCCGGUUUAAGCAUGUAGGCUGGUUAUCCAGGCAAAUCCGGAUAAUCAAGGCUGAGGUGUGAUGACGAGGCACUACGGUGCUGAAGUAACAAAUGCCCUGCUUCCAGGAAAAGCCUCUAAGCAUCAGGUAACAUCAAAUCGUACCCCAAACCGACACAGGUGGUCAGGUAGAGAAUACCAAGGCGCUUGAGAGAACUCGGGUGAAGGAACUAGGCAAAAUGGUGCCGUAACUUCGGGAGAAGGCACGCUGGUGUGUAGGUGAAGUCCCUGCGGAUGGAGCUGAGACCAGUCGAAGAUACCAGCUGGCUGCAACUGUUUAUUAAAAACACAGCACUGUGCAAACACGAAAGUGGACGUAUACGGUGUGACGCCUGCCCGGUGCCGGAAGGUUAAUUGAUGGGGUUAUCCGUAAGGAGAAGCUCUUGAUCGAAGCCCCGGUAAACGGCGGCCGUAACUAUAACGGUCCUAAGGUAGCGAAAUUCCUUGUCGGGUAAGUUCCGACCUGCACGAAUGGCGUAAUGAUGGCCAGGCUGUCUCCACCCGAGACUCAGUGAAAUUGAACUCGCUGUGAAGAUGCAGUGUACCCGCGGCAAGACGGAAAGACCCCGUGAACCUUUACUAUAGCUUGACACUGAACAUUGAGCCUUGAUGUGUAGGAUAGGUGGGAGGCUUUGAAGCGUGGACGCCAGUCUGCGUGGAGCCAACCUUGAAAUACCACCCUUUAAUGUUUGAUGUUCUAACGUUGGCCCCUGACCGGGGUUGCGGACAGUGUCUGGUGGGUAGUUUGACUGGGGCGGUCUCCUCCCAAAGCGUAACGGAGGAGCACGAAGGUUAGCUAAUCCUGGUCGGACAUCAGGAGGUUAGUGCAAUGGCAUAAGCUAGCUUGACUGCGAGCGUGACGGCGCGAGCAGGUGCGAAAGCAGGUCAUAGUGAUCCGGUGGUUCUGAAUGGAAGGGCCAUCGCUCAACGGAUAAAAGGUACUCCGGGGAUAACAGGCUGAUACCGCCCAAGAGUUCAUAUCGACGGCGGUGUUUGGCACCUCGAUGUCGGCUCAUCACAUCCUGGGGCUGAAGUAGGUCCCAAGGGUAUGGCUGUUCGCCAUUUAAAGUGGUACGCGAGCUGGGUUUAGAACGUCGUGAGACAGUUCGGUCCCUAUCUGCCGUGGGCGCUGGAGAAUUGAGGGGGGGCUGCUCCUAGUACGAGAGGACCGGAGUGGACGCAUCACUGGUGUUCGGGUUGUCAUGCCAAUGGCACUGCCCGGUAGCUAAAUGCGGAAGAGAUAAGUGCUGAAAGCAUCUAAGCACGAAACUUGCCCCGAGAUGAGUUCUCCCUGAGACUAUAAGUCUCCUGAAGGAACGUUAAAGACGAUGACGUUGAUAGGCCGGGUGUGUAAGCGCAGCGAUGCGUUGAGCUAACCGGUACUAAUGAACCGUGAGGCUUAACCUU